ACGAGCGUUCAGCAAAGCAAAAGAACUUAAAUAAGCUCAUUAAAUCUUGACUGGUUUAGUCUGUAGACGUUAAAUAACAUAAAUCACAUAGAUACUUUCUUUCCACAAGUCUAGUAAAAAUACUAAACUUAAUUGAAUUCCCAUAUCAUUAAUCCAUUUCCCUUUAACUAUGCUCAAUCUGAAGUGAGCUCUGAUUCAACAUCACUGGAAUAAUUUGGCAAUGGAUCAGUUGGCACCUCAAUAGGUAAAAUAGUAUAUACUUUCUCAGCUUCAGAACUAGCGACAUCAGAGAGCGGAGUAGAAUGAACCUCCUUAGUUAUUGAAGCUUCAUUUUCCGCAUGUAAAACGGAAAAUAUCGUAUCAGAACUAGCAUCCAGAUUAUCAGCGCGACUUACUUCGGAGUAAUCCUUCACACUAUCAGUCUGGAGGUUAGAACUAUCAAUUACAUGACCAUCUUUUUCCAAGCUUGGAUCUUUAACAUCAAUAGGUAAAAUUGAAUAAAUUUUUUCGGCUUCAGACUCUGGAAUAUCACUAGGCUUAAAGGAAUAAGUCUCUUCAGCAACAGAUUGUGGAACAUCAAUAGGUAAAAUGGAGUAAACUUUUUCGGCUUCAGAUUUUGGAACAUCAGAAGGUAAAAAGGAAUAAGUUUCUUCAGCAACAGAUUUUGGAACAUCGAUAGGUAAAAUGGAGUAAGCUCCUUCGGCCUCAGAUGUUGAAACAUCAAUUGGUAAAAUAGAGUAAACGUUGUCAGCUUCGGAUGCAGGAAUAUCGAUCGAUGGAAAAGUGGAGAGUCCUUCAUUAAU